CCUGGCGGGUCUCCAGCUCCCGCCCCUGCCUCCUUGGUAGCCGAGCCAGAACUCCAUCUGCCAUGAGGCGGGGACUCGGUUGACAAGAGGCGUUUUGCCUAUGGACUUCAAAAAUGGGCGCUUCUACAUCUCCAAGUACUUAACAUCAGUGUAUUUAUGUACAUAAGCCGAUGUGUAUUUUUUUUGUAGCCUUCCUUUUUGCCGGAAACCAUAUUAAAGCUGUAAUUACUUUAUUUAAUGUCACGCCUCCCCUUGCAAUGAGCCAUCCUGGGCCUGUGAAGAACGCAAGUGUGAUGCGCCUCAGCGCUAAGAAGUCGUCAGUGAGCAGGGCCAGCCCGAGGGGUGGAGGCUGGGCGGGGUCUGAGGCCUUCUCCGCAAAGCCUGGCACCCUGAGGCUGCAGACAAGCCUUGCUCUGCUGCUGGAGGAGGACUGCACAAAUGUAGACGUGGAGAGAAUCUCUGGGCUCUGCCAGGGGGCACAGUGUUCCUGGUGCAGAAGGGGCAGCUCCCAUCAGAGCAGGGGGCUAGGUACCAACUUUCCUUCUCCCAUGGUGCCAAGAAGAUGGGUAAGGCCUGCGGAACUCUCCACUUGUGCAAGACCUGCACCAUGUCCUCCCAUAAAUAAGUGACACGGCUUCCUUGUGGAAUGUCCUACACAGACAGCACACCUUCCUGCGACAGGAAGAGAACUGGGGCAGCGCACAAGGGAGAGAGGUAAGGCUCUUGUGAAUUAAACAGGGCACACAUGGCUGGUCAGGAGCCAAGUCAUUACUGUCUCUCCUCUGCUGAUUUCCCUUUGGAACAGUCAGGAACUAUUUUUCUCUCACCUUUAGUCCUCUGUAGUGCCU
rnacentral:lncRNA from 1 species